CAAGGCUGCAUUGCAAGAUUCACCCAGAAAUUUCCCUCUGCCUUUGACUGACAGAGAGUGAUCUACAUAGCAAGAUCUCAUAUAAUUAUGUUUUUAUUCCCUUCACAAGGCAGGACAGCUAUUAGUGUAAUCUGAAGAUUUAUAAAUAAUAUAAUGAUAGCUUGAGAAAGUUUCCCAUUUAUUAGAUAAUAAUAAUAAUAAUAAUUUUAAGGCUAAUUUUGAGGCCAAAAGCCUCAGAGUAUAUUAGAGAAGGAUAGGAUUAGUAGUGGCAAAUUAUCAAGAAGAAACCUCAACCUAUUACUAGGAUGAAAUUUUAAUUAAAUAAUCAAUUUCAAAGACAUUAAAAAGACUUGCAAAAAUGAGCCAGCAAAUUAGAAAGGAAAAGCUUAACACUUAGUUUAAAAUCUAAACCUUUUUUGGGGCUUUUUUUUCUGUUGUUCUUGUUCUGUUUUCUGUGCGUAUUUUCCUUUGCCUUCAUUCACCUUAUUCCAUUCUUAUUUCUCUACUCCUCAGCUUCAGCCAGGCCUUUUCUGGCCCAGGAAAAUGCAAUAUAUAGGGAAUGACUUAUUCACAGAAUGUACUUUGUUCUAAGACUUCUCCUAAAGCUGUCUGCUUUCACCAGUAAUCACGCAAACCAUCAGGGCAAGAAGAUUUUCUAGUUUCUUCAUAACACCAUUUUUAGAUAAGUAAAAUGAAUAUUACAUGAAAAUUCCUUCAUUAUUUAUCAGCUGAGCUGGGACAUAAAGACCAGAAGAUUUCCAAAUAAGACAAAAUAUGGCCAACAAAGGAUUCACAAAGCAUUGGUUAUCUGUAGAUCUCACAGUGUUGUAAAAGGAACAAUCAAUAUUAUUAGUCUCAAACACCGGGUCAAAGCUGGAAGAACAAAGUGGGAACAUGGCUUUUCAAAAGCCAUGCUGAAGACUGAUGACAGGAUCAGGAACAGGGUACUUGACUAAAUCAUCAGGUUAAUUCCUCAUGUCCUAUAGCAAAUAGCCUCUCCUGACAAAAGUGCUACUUGCUUGGCAGAAAGGCUUAAUAUGAGUUUUAUAGCCUCAAAGUAUAUAAAAAAAAUUAAGAAUGUGGCAGCGAACAUAUACACAUACAAGUAUGUAUUGUGUAUUAUUUAUUAUUAUGUAUUUCUCUCUUUCCCAAGUAUUUUGAGUAUUCCAGAUGAAAGGAGAUGACAUAUCAGGAAAUACCUUACAUUGGAAACACAGGUUACAACCAGGUAAUGAGAAAUUUCAGCAUUUCAUAGGUAUGAGAUACUGAGUACUUGCAUUACACAAAGGCAGCAUUACAGUGAAACAUCACCCUUUCUCUAAUGCUACUUUGUACUGAAUAUAUGCAUUUCACAGUGAGACAUCACUCUUUCUCUAAUCCUCUCUCAGCUCUCCCUCCAAAUCCAAACAUUGCUUCAGGAAAAGCUGGUAGAAAAGCUGGAACAGUAUUUGUACAACCUUCUUGUUUUGACUGUCCCAGACCAUUCAAUUAAAUAUUACUGAUGAUGCACGUAAACAGAAAUAAAUAAAGUUUAUUUCUGGAAUAGGUUAUACUUGUUUUGAAUGUUUAUUUGCCUUUUUGCUGAUUUUCAAUUUUUAUCAUUUGCAAUGACACAUUAUUUUGAGAGGUUCUGCUAAACUAAAUUAAUUCCCUUCUUUGCUUUCUAUUAAAUGAAAACCACUAAGACAGCUCUUGAAAUAUUUCAUUUGUUUAAAAAAAUCAGUAUAUUUUGCCUGUAAAAUUAUAUUAAUUAAUGUUCUCAAAUAUUUUAAUGAUCCAAGUGUUGUUUGAACUCCUGUAAUUUAUAUCAUGGGUACUCUUACUUAUUUGGAUAAAAAGUUAUAGACUAGCUAUGCUUUUAAAAAUUAUUGUUAUAUAAAAUAAUAGGGAAAAGGGAAUAGAAAUAAUUUAGCCAAAAUGUUCUAAAUUAUGAGGCAAAAAUAUAAUAAAUUAAUGGAGUAUUAGCAAAACAUUGCACAAAAUGCUCUAGUUAUGGCAUAAUUUUGUAAUUAAUACUGCUGGAAUUCCACUUAACAAGGGCAAUUUAAUACAAUAUAUCUAUGUUUAGUCCUAAAUAGAUUGCUGAGAUUUGUACAGACUAUAAUUUAAGACACUGAUUGCCAGAAGAAAUUAAUUAACAAGUAAAAAUAUUAUUGCAGUCACCAUAAGAAUGGUGUUGGAGCAUUUGUUCUUCAUCACAGCUACUUUUCAGUUUGGACUGGUUUCUAGUCCUGUUCUGUACCUUCCUGGCCUAAGUCAGUAGGCAGCCCCAUUCUGCCUGAGGGCGCCUGCAGGCACUGUUUUGGAAAUGGAUAUAAGAGCACCUAGCUGCCUUUUUGGAUGAGUCUCAGGCCUUUCUCCUCUUGCACCCUUGACCAGCAGAGAACUGGCAUGUCCUGGGAGCUCUGGAGUUGCUGAAUUUGCUGGGAUGUUUGGUGCUGCUGAAUUCUGGCUGUUCCUCUGCACACCAUUCACCCAGGGCAGUGCAAUAGCUCAGCCCUGCACACAUGCAUUGCACUUGGUGCUCCUGGGCUUCCCAGCUGUUUUCUUGCUCCUCUGCUGAACAACAGUGAUGCUUUCAACAGGUGACCAAAUUAUUGCUUGUGUAAAAGUCCAUUGCCUCCUGAGUGUGCCAUUUACACCAUGAUUUAUUGUUAUAAAGCUGUGCAGGUGCAGUGGACUUAUCAUAUGGAACAAGAUAACCUGCAGUAUUACAGUUCUCUCCUCUGUGACACUGGGAGGUUAAAAAAUGAGCCACAGCUCCAGACUAAGUUUCAUCUGGACUCAGUAACAAAACCUGCAGAGCUUUUAAACCCUUCAAAAUUAUUUAAACUCAUUUAAAAAAAGAGAGAACUGAAGCACUUGGCUAUCAUUAGGAGGUGAAUAAAGGGCUCUAAGGGAUGCAAAGAAUUAAAUGCAUCUCUACACCUACAUAAAAAGCCUAUGGGAAUAAGUAUCUAUACGUGCUACUCUAUAGUUUCAUAUUAAAAACUCAUUAAUUUAAGAACCCUAUGAGGAAAUCAACUCCACAUACAACCAACAAAUGUCUGCUCAUGGUAUGGAAAAGAGAGAAACGUGCUGAGGAUGUCUAAAAACACAGUACUCAACAACCAAGCCAUUCAUAACCUGUGCUAGGAAAGAAGAAACAUACUUGAAACUGCAAGAAAGCUCCCCAUUUCAUACAAACUGUUCCUAUUCUUGUGUAGUAGUUCUGACAGUUACAAGCAAUCCACAGUGACUUAUCCAUUUAGCAAUUCGAGCAAAAAAACAUAAAAGGAAAUGGAAGUCACAGAAAAUCAUGUUCUUUCCAAAGUCUGUCAACCACAAACUUCUAAGGAGGUUUUCCCAGUUUUUAUCAUGUUUUUCUUUACUUUCCAUGGCACAAAUCUAGCCUGAACCUAGCUAACUCUGGAUUCCUGAGUGUGUGCACUCAAUAAGUUGCCCAACCAUUGCUAUUUUCAUGAAGGGAACACCUAGAUAGGUAGUAGCAGUACUUCUUGCUAUAUUUGCUGUUCUGUCACUUUUCUGACAGUUCAUGUCUCAACGUUACCCUGCUCUUCCUUAGAUCCUUGCCACCCAUACUCUGAAAGACUUUCUGAAUUUCACUGUGCAAUUUCUUGUCUAAUAUAUUUAUCUGAUUUGCUAACUUGUGAGCAAGUCUUGUUCAUGCAAAAAAUGACAUCUGAGGAUUCAGAAAGGAUUCAUGCUCAGAACUUUGCCCUUAUUGGCAGGUUAAUAUCCAUUCAGAAAUUUUAAACUGGCAAACAAUACUUUGGUUUUAAGAUACUCACAGUUCAAGGUGAUUUUUCAUCUUGCACUUGAAACUGGAUUUGUCAGUCAGCAAAGUGUUAAGAGUACAACCUCUUACUUUAUAUAUUGGACCCACAGGAUUUAGUUUUUUUAAUAAACACUUGGAUGCCAUGUUACAGUCCAGUGCUGAGCUUACACUCCAUGCCAGUACAUUGCUGAAUGCCCCUUUUCCACCAAAGAAAAUGAAAGAUAUUAUUUUGAGUUUUUCUCAAAAAUAAUCUCUUUCACUCCAGCAGUCCCUCCCUUUUGCUUCUCACUAAAUCAAUCUUAGCUAUUAGAAAACUUAGAAAAUCUUAAGUGAGGGGUAACUGUGAAGUAAGCAGGAGGCAGCAAGCGUGGGAGUUGGCACAGGGCAGUGAGAUAGGAAUGCCCACUGCAGGAAGAAUAGAUGUCAUAAACCCUUUGAAUUAUAGAAGGGCAUGAACAAGAAAAGUAAGAAAAAAGCCAAGUUCUUCAGUCACCUCAAAUAGUUGCUGCAAUUCUAGAGGAAGAGAUUCUGGGAACCUUUUCUUCACAUACUCAGCACAUGCAAUUUGCAGCAUUCCCAGAGGACCUCAGGGUCCCUCAGGUCUUUCUUGUCUAAGGGAACUGCAAUAUUUAGAUGCCAUCCUCUCAACAGCCCAGAUGGUAUAAUUAUAGUAUCUGAUGAGAAAAGAAUUCUUCUGAUAAUAUCUUUUUUUCUCCUGCUUUAGAGAAAAAAAUGGUAUUGGUUAGAAUGCCAAUUCUUGUCCAGCUGAAUCUAAAGCUAAGCUUUAACUGCUCUACUUAGAAAACAGAAACCUCCAGGAGAAAGCUCUGUCUGAGAAUUUAGUUCCUGAGAUAGCCUGUUUUAGCAGCAGCUAGAUAAGCAUGUGACACUGACAGGAUACCCCCCGUGCUUUGCACACAAAUUGUUGUAAGCAACUGUCUUUGUCUGAAAAAACUACUUUUGACAACUGAAUAAAUCAGACAGCCAGAUCAUAAUAGAUAUGGAAUAUUUCUUCUGUUUUACACACUGGAGACUAAGGCAAUUGCCUGAGGCCAGCAAGUUAUUGUAACACAGCUGGGAACUGAAUCUUAUAUCUCGAGUCUCGUGCAAAUAAAAAAAAAA
rnacentral:lncRNA from 1 species